rnacentral:rRNA from 1 species
AGUGAACGCUGGCGGUAGGCCUAACACAUGCAAGUCGAACGGCAGCACAGGAGAGCUUGCUCUCUGGGUGGCGAGUGGCGGACGGGUGAGGAAUACAUCGGAAUCUGCCCAGUCGUGGGGGAUAACGUAGGGAAACUUACGCUAAUACCGCAUACGACCUUCGGGUGAAAGAGGGGGAGCGCAAGACCUCUCGCGAUUGGAUGAGCCGAUGUCGGAUUAGCUAGUUGGCGGGGUAAUGGCCCACCAAGGCGACGAUCCGUAGCUGGUCUGAGAGGAUGAUCAGCCACACUGGAACUGAGACACGGUCCAGACUCCUACGGGAGGCAGCAGUGGGGAAUAUUGGACAAUGGGCGCAAGCCUGAUCCAGCCAUACCGCGUGGGUGAAGAAGGCCUUCGGGUUGUAAAGCCCUUUUGUUGGGAAAGAAAUCUUUCAGGCUAAUACCCUGGGAGGAUGACGGUACCCAAAGAAUAAGCACCGGCUAACUUCGUG